UUACUACUAGAAGCAGAGAAGGAAUGAGUCGAACCCUAAGGAUGGUCCCUCCAUUAUACAGACUCACUUAAUGGCGAGGCAGCGAUUCUCAGAUGCGUAUGGAGAACUCUUCCAGAACUGAGGCCCCGUCAGCGACUUGCACCUGUGGUGCAGUGAGUGGCACAGGAGUUUGCACAUUUUUCUGUAACAAACCUGAGAGUAGAGGCAGGUGAUGUGAUCCGCGGUGCAAGCUCAGUCCUGCCUCCAGACCAGAAUGCAGAUGCACACGGAGGGAAGACCACCUGAGGACACAGGGAGAAGACAGCAUCUCCAAGCCAAGGAGGGAGGCCUCCAAAGAAACCAUCCCUGCUGACACCCUGACCUUGGACUUCCAGCCUCCGAACGUUCCCUGACCAGGGAUUGAACUCGGGCCCCGGCAGUGAAAGCUCUGAGUCCUAACCGCUGGACCACCAGAGAAUUCCCAGCAAAAUUUUAAGUCUAUAAUCCAUCAUUGUUUUUUUUAAUUUAUUUUCAUUUUUAUUGAUGUAUAGUUGAUUUACAAUGCUGUGUUACUUUCUGCUGUACAA